AGAAUAGAAGGGGCUACAGCAGUGCGUGGAGUGCUCAAGGCUGGGACCAAAUCUCUGAGUGAGUGGAGCUGACUGCUGGAGCACAUUCUGAGCAGAGUCUUGGCCAAUGGCUCCUGCUUCCCUACCAGCCCCAGGGCUGCGCCGAACUAAGUAAGCACCAUGUCAGAGCACUGCAGGCUCCCAGCUCUGCUGGCUGUGUCCAGUCCUGAUCCUUGAGUGGCCUGUAUGCCAUAGGGUCCCAGAGACGGGCAAAAAAGGUGAGAAAUCCAAAAAGGUGAGUUGAGCUUCAUUCACUCUGGACAGCCGGGAGCUCAGGCCCCCUCGCUCUGCAGAGGUGCCAGCUGUGACCAAGUACUGACUAGGUUUCGCUGGCAACUCAGGGAUGAGUGCUGUCUGCCCAGUUGGCCAUAGCAGGUAGCCUCGGCUCUUCUUAACAUCAGGAUACAGAGAGUAACAAGAGCUGCCCCAGCAUCUCUGGGGUGUCCUGGAGCACCAUCUUGACCGUGAGAUGCUAACUACCAAGGAAGGAAGCCAGUCUGGCUAUAACCAGCGGCUGCUGUUUGAUGAAGGAGCUUAGGAGCUGAGGGGGGAAUCCUGGAGCACCAAGUUCUACCUGAAAUAAACCAGAGAGGGAAGAGUUAAAGGUGCAGACAGACCCAGGAGAGUGCACCGGGGCACACUUCAGCCAUAAGCAGCCACCCCAGGCUGCUGUGACUGGAGAGGCUCUGAACUGAACUGUCUACAGCCCUGUGCUCUGCUGUUCAGAUCUAGGCAAAAGCUUCACCUCCCAAUGACAAAAGGUCAAGUCAGGGAACUGAGGGUGCUGCUCUGCCUCACAAUGACUCAUCUAUCUCCUGAGGACCCUGGGAACAGCCAGAGGAUGUAGGCCGCCAGGCUCUGUGAGGGGCUGCAGGAUCCAGGCACUGGGCAGGAUCUCCCCUCGGACCAUCUCCCUGCUGGGUCUCGGCAUGGACGCAUCAUACACAGACUGAGCUGCCAUGAUAGACAGUUGCCCCUGGAAACAGAGCAAUCCUGACACCCCGCUGGACCUAGCUGAGUACCCGGCCUCCUGAGUACUCUGUCCCUGCCUCUGACCCUGCUGCCUCUGUCCCCUGGGCUCACCCAGGCUGAUGCUGCUGGUCACCCGCUGAUGCAGCCUCGCUGUCUGGAUGGGCUUGUGGUACAGCGGCCACAAGAGUCGGCUACAGGAAACCUCACAUCAGCCAUAGAGAUGUCCACGAUGUGCUUGGCCAAAUCCUUGUAGGAGGAGGAGAAGGAGGUCCCCAGGCUGGACAGGCUGGACGGAGAACAGCAGCAACUGCCCAAGGAGGCUCUGCGGCCUACAAUGAACAGGUGGAGACUCUUGAGACGGCAUGAGCAUCAGGGCCUCAGGGCAGCAACGGCCUCCUUCAAUAAUAAUGUCCCUCCUCCUGAGGGACAGUGGCUCCCUAGGAUCUAGCAGACCUCAGCCCCAAAGUCCCCACACCAGAAGAGAAGAUGCUCAGGACCAGAGCAGAGGCAGGGAGAGAGCAGAGCACCAGAAAGCCAGUGCAGAAUUAUCUCCUCUGCCUCUGAACAGCACCAAACAGCUUUCAACAUAAAGGCUCAAGUGAAAAGGUGUUCCCUGCUGGAUGCCCUUGAGAAGUCAACCACAAUAGAAACCAGUCCCCCUGGAGAGUUUCCUUGCCCUUCAAGCCACACGCUCAAGGUUGCUUGUAGGAGAGUUCCAACAGGAAUCAGAAUGAACUGGGACCUGAGACGAUGGGGUACCAGGGGUCAGUGAGUGGGGGGGCCCUCUGCGCCACUGCAGCAACAGGAAUGAGGCCAUGGCUGGAGCUCUGUUUAAUGUGGGCAGCAAACAAAGCCCAACUGGGAGGUGGGAGGUGGGAGGUGGGAUGGGGAAGAAAAGUGACGGGCUGUGAGAAAAGCUUGACCCUUGGCCCCAGCCCCAGGUACAGCAGCUGAGCCAAAGGUCCUAAUUUGGAACCAAAUGGGGAUGAUCCUCUCGAUUUGCAAUACAGCCACCACACCUUUACUACAAGCAGCUUCUCAAUGACAUGACCCUUGACCUCUGCUGGAUCUAACAGGCAUCCACUAUCCUACCUCUAUCAUCGGUUCCUAACCUAGUGUUACUUUUAAAAAAAAGUGAACAAA